UACGGAGGGUGCAAACGUUGCUCGGAAUCAUUGGGCGUAAAGCGCACGUAGGCGGCCUGUUAAGUCGGGUGUGAAAGCCCUGGGCUCAACCCAGGAAGUGCACUCGAAACUGGCGGGCUUGAAUAUGGAAGAGGGUCGCGGAAUUCCCGGUGUAGAGGUGAAAUUCGUAGAUAUCGGGAGGAACACCAGUGGCGAAGGCGGGUUGCUGGGCCGACACUGACGCUGAGGCGCGAAAGCUAGGGGAGCGAACGGG
rnacentral:rRNA from 1 species